CGUUGGCUACGCCUUCAGGGCGCGCCCGGAGCGCGGUGCGGGGAGCGAGCGGUUGGGCCUGGCGGGCUGCGGCGAGGCGGGUGGUCGCCUCCGGGAGCGCGGGAGAACUUUAACCCGCCCAGUUCGGAGUUGAGAAUUGCUAGCGCCCCCUCCCCGGGCUUGAGAAGAGGGAGAGCAGGGAAGGACAGUGAAGGACUCGGUGCCUAACCUUGAGUUUUACGAUACAUUCAUUUAGGGGUUCGAAACAUACUAGUUUUGCUCCACAAGUCGCCGCCAGGGCGGCCACCGAACCCCUCCGACCCCCGUGGAGGCCAGCUAGUGCUACGUUGCACGGGGUCCGCGUGGACGCGCCACUUGAACAGUGGGGACAAUCCGCGUCAUCACGAAUGUCCUCCCGCUUAGGGCUUUUUUGGAAAGUCUCUCGAAGGUCUGAGUGGGGGAGACCCGGGCGUAAAGGCCUCCAGCCAGGAGCCAGGGGCUCCCCACCCAACCACCCCUUGUGACCCCAUGAGAGCGCUACGCUGACCAGUGCCCCGAGGUCUGUGAGGACCGCGUGGGAGGCCGCGCCCCGCAGUCUCGGUCUCCCAGCGCGGGUCAGGACCCGCUGCAGUUGCUCUUAUGCCCUACGAGUCGCGGCGAGAAGGGCGCAAUGUCAAGAUCGUUCUUCCAGCCGAGCCGGCGAGCCAGGGCCUGCUCCCGCCUCCCGCUGGGGAGGCGCCGGGCUCAGCCCGCUUCAGGGCCCCGCUGAGGGCGCGUUUCUUGGGAUUCGCGCCGCACGGUCGGCCUGGGUGUUGGGAGAGAGGGCAGCAAACAAGAUCUUUCUCUGGGUGGGAAGCCCCAUUUCGCGCCAAAGCGGGUCGGGUAAACAGGUCGCGCGAACGUUCCAUGGAACUGGAAGCCCCGGGGACAUUGCUGGCAACCUCCUACGCCGACCGACCAAACGGGAGCCCUCUCACCAAUAACGGACAUGCUGAAGUUGCCAAAUGGAGAUGAGAGGCCCUGGAGGAUGAGAGUUCACAUGGAGAAGAACUGAGGCAUGUCGGCCAAUAGCCAGCACCAAAGGCUGGCCAUAUAAUGUGGCCCAGUAACAGGAGACGUACGGUAGUCACAUGGGAACCUGUGUUAGUUUGUCUCUGAGACUCUACGCAUAGCCUCAUUUGAAGAUUAUGGUCGGAAGUCUAAAUCUGAAGCUCUUUGUGAAAAUGAAGUUUGAGCCAAAGGCACUCCUGCCAGAUGCUGAAUCUGCUGAUCCCAUGAUCUUGGACUUCCUGGCUUUCAGGCUGUAAGAAACAAAUAUUUGUUGCUGGUAACCCACCAAGUUUAAGCUUCCACAGUCACUUGGGACCAUGAGAUGACUUUGAAGAAGAAAGCAAGGUUUGAAAAGAUGUCAGCUGAAUACACAAGUCUAAGUAGCCAUGGGGUGCCUCCUGCCAUAGGCCUUUGAGAACCACAGAGGAAGCUGGGAGGUCCGUCUGGGCGUCAGCGGAGCACCCGGACCAGAAAGGUGACCCCCGAGGGAGCCCACAGAGGACUUCAGUGACAACAUGGAUGUGUGAAAACUCUUUCACACACAUGGAGCCAGGUGCUGGCUGUGUGGAGGAGCCUGCGUGGGCCAAAUGGUAUGAGUUGCAGAUAGCGCCCUGGUGACCUUGACAAGGACGGCCACUACUGAGAACCAGGCAGGAAACUCUCUUUGUCGGUAAGAAGUCUACACCUCCGUUCCUAUGAGGAUCUUCUGUUUGGGGGAGCAACACCAGCCACCAGGGGGACAUGGGGCUUUAGCCAGCUCUGCUCCAGGGAUCCAACAGUCAACAAAACCAGUGAGGCACCCCAAAGGUCGGAAGCUGAAAACAGAUACCCACAGCCAGUUCUUCACAAACAAGAGGUUUUAUUUUUAUGCUGUACCCCCACCCUCUGCCAAAUAAGUGGGGAGAGCUCUGAAAGGGCAGAUUUUGUAGUUGAGAGCCACUGAGGGCAAGUGAAGCUGAGAUUCAUGCCUGGCAUAGGGGAGCAAAGGAAGAAGGACCGAGGUGUCUGGGGAGUGCCCCACCUGUGCUAGACACCUCCCAGGGUUCUGCAGGAGGGAGUGAACCCAGACCCACACUGCACAGGGAAUCUGUCCCUCUGUGGGCCCAAGGGCAGAAAGAAGACAUCCUAAGAGCUUUGCAAAGGUAUCUUCCCCUUGGUGGCCGGGCCUCACCUCACAGGCCUCAAUAAUUCCUGUCCUACCCUGUCAGGAUGGUCAGCUAUCAUCCAUCUCUCCAGCCAAAAGACCCAGCCCUAGUCGGCUCCUGGGAGAUGUUUCCAGACAAUAUUACAUUCUUAAGGAGCCUGUCUCUUUUGAUUAACAAGACCUUUUACUUUUCUUCUGAAUUCUAUAUAAAUAGCCAGAACAUGUGCCCCACUAAAGGCAAGGGUGGGGAAGGGUGUUCCCUGGUGCCCUGGUCUCUUGGGUCUGAGCUUUGCCAGCAAGGUCACUAUUACCCCCAGAUGACUCUGGGUCUUGGCCAAACCAGCAAGUGUUCACUCAGAUCACAGCUCCCUUCCCAUUUAGGCUGUUCAGUAGCUUUCCGGUUGCUCUCCAGACACAACCUAAAAGGUUCAACGAGGCUGACCCCUUGGGUUCUGGCCUGGGCACUGAACCUUUGAGCAUGUGCCCGAAACCAGGGCCAUUUCCCCCACUGAUAAUCUCAGGGUGGAUAACAUAGCCAGGACCAGACAGACUUUAACCCACUGUCCCAGGGAUGCAGUCCUCUAUACUGCAAGAAAGAAUGCUAAAAGGCAGACUUCUGGCUGACAAACUGGAAACCUGUCAGGAAUAUGUCCUUGCUGGUCAAAGAGACCAAGGAAGGACCUGGGGUUGGGAUCCAAAAACCAUGCAGUGAGCUUACCAUCAUGCUGGUGCCCGCUAUCCCAAAUAAAGACAGAGAGCAUGUUGUCCAGAAGCCAGAGAGCAAGGGGGUGGAUUGUCGGGUAGCAGAAGGCAUCUCUGUUUGAGUGCGGCUGCAGUGGGACCGUCAGUUUCCACAGCCUGCAAGAUGCCCCCUGACACUGAGGGGUUGCCAGCCAUCUUCCUCCUUCUCUUUGACUGGGUUUCAGCAGCUGUUCCUGCAGCUGUUCCUGCAGCUCCCAGCACAGUCCUCAGACGUCAAGAUACACUGGUCCCAUGGCUAUCCAGUGUGAACAGCGCUCCCUGGAGUUAUGCAAGUUGAGGGCCUUGACUACAUUUCUUCAAGCAGGACCCCAUGACCCUCCUGAAGAGUCCAAAUCCCUCUUGAAGCUACAGGACCCUUUCUGGAUGUUGGAGAGUAACUGCUCAGAUCUCUCCACCCCCUGCCCUCCAGACAAGAAGAUCUAUGAGGGCAGAGAAGAAGCUGUGCUCUCUGGUGGUUGAGUGUUUCACUUCUAUAUCUCCACUUGAUUGCCCAUGUUUGGCCACAGAGGAGAUACUCAAUAAAUGUUGAAUGAAUGAACACAUUCCCAUCCCCCCAUUCCUGCCCCCGACCAUUGCAGGCCUGCCACCCACCCUGAGCUCCUGAAGCUCUGAGUCCAUUUGGGAGGCAUCAGUUAUUUCUAUGUUUGCCCUUUUUCUCUCUUAGGAACAGUUGGUGCUGAAUCAUUCUGCCUGGAGAUAAAGACUCCCCAAGGCCACUUCCCUGCAUGUGGGACUUCCAGAAUGCCUGGGAGAAAUCGGCAGUCCUGCCUGCCCAGCUGCCACACGUGGACACAUCUUUUUACUGUUUGAGCUUUCCUUGAUGCUCAUUAUAACCCAAAUCCAGGAAUCUAAAGCUGUGGGCUGAGUGAGGAUGAGCAGGGAAAGGGGGUCAGGGAGGCAGGCAUGCAGGGUAUCAUGGCCAGUGGGUAUGCUGUUGCUGAUGCAUGGCUGUGUCCCUGUCCCCACACUUCCUCCCCAGAACCAAUGGCCCUGAGCUAGGAAUCCAGCAUUUCGUGAAUAUUGCUUCUGUAAACGGAAUCCUCUUUUUCCAUCCCCUUCUAUCAUCACACAUCAAAAUGAAUUCUCAUAUAGAAAGGUUCUAUUCCUAAGAUAAAAUACAAAUCACAACAAUAAUGUAUCAAGUAUAUUUUAAUCAUAUCUUUGGAAAACUAGAUGUUUUUGAUAAAAAUUAAUUAAAAUCACUCCUUAUAUACACAUAGUACCAAAAUGUUAAGGUAUUGCUAAAUCCUGUCUUCCUUUGGGAUGAGUGUCCCUUAUCUCAAGUGACAGGAAAAUAAAGAAAAUAUUUUCUUUU